AUUGAACGCUGGCGGCAUGCUUUACGCAUGCAAGUCGAGCGGCAGCGCGGGGGCAACCCUGGCGGCGAGCGGCGAACGGGUGAGUAAUGCAUCGGAACGUACCCUGGAGUGGGGGAUAACGCCGCGAAAGCGGCGCUAAUACCGCAUAUGCUCUGAGGAGGAAAGUGGGGGACCGCAAGGCCUCACGCUCUGGGAGCGGCCGAUGUCCGAUUAGCUAGUUGGUGAGGUAAAGGCUUACCAAGGCGACGAUCGGUAGCUGGUCUGAGAGGAUGAUCAGCCACACUGGGACUGAGACACGGCCCAGACUCCUACGGGAGGCAGCAGUGGGGAAUUUUGGACAAUGGGGGCAACCCUGAUCCAGCCAUGCCGCGUGAGUGAAGAAGGCC
rnacentral:rRNA from 1 species